rnacentral:pre_miRNA from 1 species
AAACUGCAAAAUGGAGUAGAAAAUGCAGUCGUGAACAAACUGCAUUUUCCACUCCAUUUGUUUGUUUAUGACUACAUUUUCCACUCCAUUU